UGGGGAAUAUUGGGCAAUGGGCGAAAGCCUGACCCAGCAAUGCCGCGUGAAUGAAGAAGGUCUUAGGAUUGUAAAAUUCUGUCCUAUGGGAAGAAACAAAUGACGGUACCAUAGGAGGAAGCCCCGGCUAACUACGUGCC
rnacentral:rRNA from 1 species